UACAGAGGUCUCGAGCGUUGUUCGGAUUCAUUGGGCGUAAAGGGUGCGUAGGUGGCGGGGUAAGUCGGAUGUGAAAUCUCAGGGCUCAACCCUGAAACUGCAUUCGAUACUGCCUUGCUCGAGGACUGGAGAGGAGAUUGGAAUUCACGGUGUAGCAGUGAAAUGCGUAGAUAUCGUGAGGAAGACCAGUGGCGAAGGCGGAUCUCUGGACAGUUCCUGACACUGAGGCACGAAGGCCAGGGGAGCAAACGGG
rnacentral:rRNA from 1 species